GACGAACGCUGGUGGCGUGCUUAACACAUGCAAGUCGUACGGUAAGGCCCUUUCGGGGGUACACGAGUGGCGAACGGGUGAGUAACACGUGAGUAACCUGCCCACAACUUUGGGAUAACGCUAGGAAACUGGUGCUAAUACUGGAUAUGUGCUCCUGCUGCAUGGUGGGGGUUGGAAAGCUCCGGCGGUUGUGGAUGGACUCGCGGCCUAUCAGCUUGUUGGUGGGGUAGUGGCCUACCAAGGCGGCGACGGGUAGCCGGCCUGAGAGGGUGACCGGCCACAUUGGGACUGAGAUACGGCCCAGACUCCUACGGGAGGCAGCAGAGGGGAAUAUUGCACAAUGGGCGCAAGCCUGAUGCAGCAACGCCGCGUGCGGGAUGACGGCCUUCGGGUUGUAAACCGCUUUCAGCAGGGACGAAGCUUUUUGUGACGGUACCUGCAGAAGAAGCACCGGCUAACUACGUG
rnacentral:rRNA from 1 species